AGAGUUUGAUCCUGGCUCARAUUGAACGCUGGCGGCAGGCCUAACACAUGCAAGUCGAACGGUAGCACARAARAGCUUGCUCUUCGGGUGACGAGUGGCGGACGGGUGAGUAAUGUCUGGGAAACUGCCUGAUGGAGGGGGAUAACUACUGGAAACGGUAGCUAAUACCGCAUAACGUCGCAAGACCAAAGAGGGGGACCUUCGGGCCUCUUGCCAUCARAUGUGCCCAGAUGGGAUUAGCUAGUAGGKGGGGUAAUGGCUCACCUAGGCGACRAUCCCUAGCUGGUCUGAGAGGAUGACCAGCCACACUGGAACUGAGACACGGUCCAGACUCCUACGGGAGGCAGCAGUGGGGAAUAUUGCACAAUGGGCGCAAGCCUGAUGCAGCCAUGCCGCGUGUAUGAAGAAGGCCUUCGGGUUGUAAAGUACUUUCAGCGAGGAGGAAGGCAUCAAGGUUAAUAACCUUGGUGAUUGACGUUACUCGCARAAGAAGCACCGGCUAACUCCGUGCCAGCAGCCGCGGUAAUACGGAGGGUGCAAGCGUUAAUCGGAAUUACUGGGCGUAAAGCGCACGCAGGCGGUCUGUCAAGUCGGAUGUGAAAUCCCCGGGCUCAACCUGGGAACUGCAUUCGAAACUGGCAGGCUAGAGUCUUGUAGAGGGGGGUAGAAUUCCAGGUGUAGCGGUGAAAUGCGUAGAGAUCUGGAGGAAUACCGGUGGCGAAGGCGGCCCCCUGGACAAAGACUGACGCUC
rnacentral:rRNA from 1 species